AGAAAGUUCCCCAAACAGAGCUCAGCCUCUCGCCCAACUCUUUACUCCUCCUGAUCAGGCAUAGGUUGAAGGAAGCUGCCUUUACUUCACGUGGAGAGAAAGCCCUUACAAACACUUUUUGUCUCUUCUUGGCACCUGCAGACUGAAGUGCAAUCAAAGGAAUCGGGAUUCUUGCCGAGUGUUUUCUCUUCCUUCAGAAAGAGUCUUCUCGUCCCUCUUCCAUUUCCCCAUAAUAAUUCCUCGUCUAAGCCCUCAUUGCUUGAUGUCUCCAUGCUGCAGAGCUGUCUCACCACAAGGAUCUUUGUCUUCUAUAUCCUGACACCUCUGGAAGAUCCUGAGGAAGAAAUAUGACAUGUGAGAAACUUCCUGCCUUCCUUCCCGCCUCUGAGGAUUCGUGCACAGCACAAUAGAGUUUUUUGCAACCAGCUUCCAGCUCCAUGCAUUCAAAGAUGGGAGAACUGCAUUCAAGGAUGGUAGAACUGGUUAGCUUUUUCUUCCUUCUUGGCAAAUUUUAGCAACAAGCGGGAGCAUAAUUUCCUUAGCUUUUAUUAAGUUUUUCAGAAGCAUGGGUGUUGAUCUUUUCUACUUUUCUUUGGGAAGCAAUUUCUGACUUGCUCCAGGUAUAAGAUGCAUUUGCCCAUGACGCUUCGGAAUUGAACCUCUAGACCACACAUGGCGAUGGUCAGCAGAAGCAGUGGGGCUCUGGGAAUUACACAAAAGGCUGAAAAUUCUCUUAUUCUGCUGCCAAGUUCUCCAUUUACCGCCGAGGCAACCUGGGGAAAAUAGUUGGACUCUUUGUGCUCAGUUUCCUACUCUGGAUUCAAGUUGGAGAAAACAAUGCCGAUUACAUUUUCAGCAGCUGCAAAUAAAAUUGGAAGUAAAGCUGUUUUG
rnacentral:lncRNA from 1 species